rnacentral:rRNA from 1 species
AAGAAAGUAAGAAAGGGCGUAUGGCGGAUGCCUAGGCUCACGGAGGCGAUGAAGGACGUGAUAAGCUGCGAUAAGCUUCGGGUAGGUGCAAAUAACCUUUGAUCCGGAGAUUUCCGAAUGGGACAACCUAGCCGUCUGAAGGACGG